rnacentral:rRNA from 1 species
GUGUCAGCAGCCGCGGUAAUACAGAGGUCUCGAGCGUUGUUCGGAUUCAUUGGGCGUAAAGGGUGCGUAGGUGGCGCUGUAAGUCGGGUGUGAAAUCCUGAGGCUUAACCUCGGAACUGCAUUCGAUACUGCGGCGCUUGAGGACUGGAGAGGAGACUGGAAUUCAUGGUGUAGCAGUGAAAUGCGUAGAGAUCAUGAGGAAGACCAGUGGCGAAGGCGGGUCUCUGGACAGUUCCUGACACUGAGGCACGAAGGCCAGGGGAGCAAACGGGAUUAGAUACCCCUGUAGUCC